UGAAAAUAGUCUGGUGAAAGAGCAAGGCCUUUCAGAAUACAAGCACAUAACCUUGCUUCAUGAAAAACAAGUGCAUUCAUGAUACCUAAGACUGCCUUGCUACAUUCCCCCAGUGACUAAUGUAUCUUUUUUUUUUCUUUAUCUCGUAGCAUUAGUCUGUCUGUCAUUGAUGAAAACACCCGCACUACAUGUAUUACGUUAUUUCAUUAGUCUCAAGUCGCUAUUUCAAGUCUAUAUAAGCCUCAAUAAAUACGAGAGCUGUGGUGGUGGUCUGCUUCCCGUCUGCCAAUCAGAGCGUUCUAUUUUUCCGUUUUCUUUCGUAUUCUUCGUAAAGCUCACGCAUCCUUCAUUUGUCGUUACUUCUUGCCUCACAGAGUAUUGGUAAGUGUCUUCUACUGGUAAUAAUAACCGUGAUUCUAUUAUUUUGUAUCAUUACAAGUAGUAUUGCGAGAGUGGCUCCGUUCUUAGUGACAAUUACCUCAGCACAGCCUUCACCAAUCAGCGCCAAGUAUUCAAGUCACGUGAUACUCUCUCCUCGCCGUCUCCUCAGCCAUUCGCCCUGCGCCCGCUGACGUGACGAGUCCCCGGUUGUGUUACGGCGGUGAAGCGGUGUUGCGUCUGUCCCUGGCGGGCAUGUUGUGGUGGACUGCGGUGUGGAGGGAGAGGUGGAUGUGAGUAUGGCCUGGUGGUGGAUAGGGAGGAGUGGAUAGUGGAAGAGAGAUGUGGAGAGUAGGAUGGUGGAAGGGGGAGGUGGAGGUGGCUAUGGCGGACGUGACUGGGUUGAGGUGGUGGUUGUGGUGGUGUUUGGUAUGGUUGGAAUGGUUGUAGAGGGUGUUGGUAGUGAUGGUGAACGUGACUGGCUUAUGUUAAAGGUGGUUGUGGUUGUUGGGGAUGGUGGUGGUUGUGUGACAGUGGUGGGUGCAGCGGACGCAACGAUGUUGUGGUUGUUGGGUGUGGUUGAGGAUUGCGAUGGUGGUGGUGGUGGAGGUGGUAGGUGGCGGUGGUCGUAGUCGGAGCGGGCUAAGCGGUGGUGGUGGUGGUGUAAAAAGGUGUUUAUCGGACGGAGUGGAAGUGGUGGUGGUGGCGGUGAUACGAUUAUCAGGGAUGAGAGAGAGAGAGAGAGAGAGAGAGAGAGAGAGAGAGAGUGUGUGUGUGUGUGUGUGUGUGUGUACUCCUAUAAUCAGCAAAUUGCAGUCACUCGUUCGCUGUUUCACCUCCCUGUUUCAGGCCUUCUCUCCCCUUCCCUUCCUCCUCGCUCCCUUCCUAGCCUGCCCGCCACCCUCUCCCCGCUUUUCCCUGCCUGUCCUCCCCUGCUCCUCGUGUCCCAGGUGACCCAUGAACUACCUCUAACAAUGGUGAUGAAGAACCAGAAGUGGGUUGUAGGUGACGAGAUAACUAUCCCAGGUCAUCCCGGAAGUGGCGAGGUGACCCCAUACAGCUCCACAAGGUCGUGGAGGACGCCAGAUAUAGCCACGUGGUCGCCUACACUCAGCCAUCCACCUCACCUGCCCCAGACUGCUACCCGGACACCAUCCAGCCACAAGAACCCAGAUAAGCACUUCCGGGGUCCUUGGUUGUGGUUAGCUAGCUAGUUUGUUUAGGGGUCACUUGCUGUACAUAGGAACCCUCCUCGGUCUGCUGCUAUUUUUUUUAUUUUUAUUUUUGAGGUGUAACGCUGUCCUCUACGUGAGAGUGAUAGUGUUUAUAUUUAUUUAUUUUUUUUUCCUGAAGACCAGUUCUGAGGUUAUCUUGGAGGUUAACGGAGAAGAGUUCUUCACACCUGUGUUUGUUGUUUUAUUUUAUUUUUUUAUUGGUCACUUUUUGUUUUUUGUUGUGAUU